AUUGAACGCUGGCGGCAUGCCUUACACAUGCAAGUCGAACGGCAGCACGGGGCAACCUGGUGGCGAGUGGCGAACGGGUGAGUAAUGCAUCGGAACGUACCUUUCAGUGGGGGAUAACGUAGCGAAAGUUACGCUAAUACCGCAUAUUCUGUGAGCAGGAAAGCAGGGGAUCGCAAGACCUUGCGCUGAUUGAGCGGCCGAUGUCAGAUUAGCUAGUUGGUGAGGUAAAGGCUCACCAAGGCGACGAUCUGUAGCGGGUCUGAGAGGAUGAUCCGCCACGCUGGAACGGAGACACGGUCGAGACUCCUACGGGAGGCAGCAGUGGGGAAUUUUGGACAAUGGGGGCAACCCUGAUCCAGCCAUGCCGCGUGAGUGAAGAAGGCCUUCGGGUUGUAAAGCUCUUUCGGCCGGGAAGAAAUCGCACGGGCUAAUACCCUGUGUGGAUGACGGUACCGGAAUAAGAAGCACCGGCUAACUACGUGCCAGCCGCCGCAGUAACAC
rnacentral:rRNA from 1 species